CCUACGGGAGGCAGCAGUGAGGAAUAUUGGUCAAUGGACGAGAGUCUGAACCAGCCAAGUAGCGUGAAGGAUGACUGCCCUAUGGGUUGUAAACUUCUUUUAUAUGGGAAUAAAAUGUUCCACGUGUGGGAUUUUGUAUGUACCAUAUGAAUAAGGAUCGGCUAACUCCGUGCCAGCAGCCGCGGUAAUACGGAGGAUCCGAGCGUUAUCCGGAUUUAUUGGGUUUAAAGGGAGCGUAGGUGGAUUGUUAAGUCAGUUGUGAAAGUUUGCGGCUCAACCGUAAAAUUGCAGUUGAAACUGGCAGUCUUGAGUACAGUAGAGGUGGGCGGAAUUCGUGGUGUAGCGGUGAAAUGCUUAGAUAUCACGAAGAACUCCGAUUGCGAAGGCAGUUCACUGGACUGCACCUGACACUGAGGCUCGAACGUGUGGGUAUCAAACAGGAUUAGAUACCCGGGUAGUC
rnacentral:rRNA from 1 species